rnacentral:rRNA from 1 species
ACGAGAAGACCCCAUGGAGCUUUAAACCCAACAACACCCGCCCCCCUCCAAAUCCUAUUAUUUACCCGGUGAUUGUUUGUUUGGUUUUAGGUUGGGGUGACCGCGGAGUAUAAGAUAUCCUCCAUGAAAAAAAGCUAACUGCCCUUAUUAGAGAAAGACACUUCCAAAAAAUAAUAAAUUAAUUUUAAAUGAUCCGACAUUCGAUCAACGAACCAAGUUACCCUGGGGAUAACAGCGCAAUCCGUCCCGAGAGCCCCUAUCGACAGGCGGGUUUACGACCUCGAUGUUGGAUCAGGGUAUCCCAGUGGUGCAGCAGCUACUAAAGGUUCGUUUGUUCAACGAUUAAAACCCU